AGUGAACGCUGGCGGUAGGCCUAACACAUGCAAGUCGAACGGCAGCACAGUAAGAUCUUGCUCUUACGGGUGACGAGUGGCGUACGGGUGAGGAAUACAUCGGACUCUACUUUUUCGUGGGGGAUAACGUAGGGAAACUUACGCUAAUACCGCAUACGACCUACGGUUGAAAGCAGGGGAUCUUCGGACCUUUCGCGAUUGAAUGAGCCGAUGUCGGAUUAGCUAGUUGGCGGGGUAAAGGCCCACCAAGGCGACGAUCCGUAGCUGGUCUGAGAGGAUGAUCGGCCACACUGGAACUGAGACACGGUCCAGACUCCUACGGGAGGCAGCAGUGGGGAAUAUUAGACAAUGGGCGCAAGCCUGAUCCAGCGAUACCGCGUGGGUGAAGAAGGCCUUCGGGUUGUAAAGCCCUUUUGUUGGGAAAGAAAAGCAGCAGGUUAAUACCCCGCUGUUCUGACGGUACCCAAAGAAUAAGCACCGGCUAACUUCGUG
rnacentral:rRNA from 1 species